UACGUAGGGUGCAAGCAUUAAUCGGAGUCAUUGGGCGUAAAGAGCGUGUAGGCGGGAAAGAAAGUUAGAUGCGAAAGCCCGGGGCUCAACUCCGUAACUGCAUCUAAAACUCCUUUUCUAGAGGAUGGACGGAGAAAAUGGAAUUCCACGUGUAGCGGUGAAAUGCGUAGAUAUGUGGAAGAACACCAGUGGCGGAAGCGAUUUUCUAGUUUAGACCUGACGCUGCGGCGCGACAGCUAGGGGAGCAAACAGG
rnacentral:rRNA from 1 species